rnacentral:rRNA from 1 species
CCUACGUGUGGCAGCAGUGGGGAAUAUUGCGCAAUGGGCGAAAGCCUGACGCAGCGACGCCGCGUGAGGGAUGAAGGUCUUCGGAUCGUAAACCUCUGUCAGCAGGGAAGAACGGUCACUGUGCUAAUCAGCAGUGAAUUGACGGUACCUGCAAAGGAAGCACCGGCUAACUCCGUGCCAGCAGCCGCGGUAAUACGGAGGGUGCGAGCGUUAAUCGGAAUUACUGGUCGUAAAGCGCGCGUAGGCGGUAUGUCAAGUCAAGGGUGAAAUCCCCGGGCUCAACGUGGGAACUGCAUUUGAAACUGGCAAACUGGAGUGUGUGAGAGGAGAGUGGAAUUCCAGGUGUAGGAGUGAAAUCCGUAGAUAUCUGGAGGAACAUCAGUGGCGAAGGCGACUAUCUGGCACAUAACUGACGCUGAGGAGCGAAAGCGUGGGUAGCAAACAGGAUUAGAUACCCUAGUAGUC